GCGUUGCAGCAAGGACUCAAAUAAAGCUAGAAAUGGCAAUGCAUGUCAGAUGGUGAUCUUAUAUAUUCAUGUAUAAUGAACAGAACUGAUUUCUGACAUUGCCCAAUAUAGCCAAAAAAGGCCACAGAGAUUCUUGGUUUAGGACAUCACAAGUGCACAUUUCUAAUAGGCUAGACGAAAUUUCUCCCCAGGAAAAAAAAAUCAUCAGCUUUUACAAGCCAAGACGAUCUGCAUAUAGAGGAAAUGAAUACUGACAGAACACUUGAUUUUUCUGCCCAAUGUCUUGGUGUUGGAGACUGAGGAGGUCCUUUGAGUUUGAUAUCUGCAUUGAAACAAUGGUGAGAGAUGACAUGAGAAGAGGCAUCUCUCUCUGUCUUAAAGGAGACAGACUACAGAUAUUA